CCCCAGACUCAGGUCUUCUGAAAUCAUUUUCACAAUCUCUUUUUUGAUGUUCUCUACUCUCUCGCUCCAACUGCUCUAACUCUGCUUCCAGGUCACGUCUUCUUUGUCGCCUUAUUUCUUCCUCAGCUGCUUCCUCUUUAUCUCGUUGUUCUCGAGUUUCUGAUCUCAUUCGGGGUCUCUCCAUUUCCUGUCUCCUUUUGUUUUCC